GAGGGUAGAACUCAGUGGUGGAGUGUGUACUUAGCAAGUAUAAGGUCCUAGGUUCAAUCCCCAGUACCUCCA
rnacentral:tRNA from 1 species